rnacentral:misc_RNA from 1 species
GAUGAAGAACGCAGCGAAAUGCGAUAAGUAGUGUGAAUUGCAGAAUUCAGUGAAUCAUCGAAUCUUUGAACGCACAUUGCGCCCCUUGGUAUUCCAUGGGGCAUGCCUGUUCGAGCGUCAUUUGUACCUUCAAGCUUUGCUUGGUGUUGGGUGUUUGUCCCUCGGGACUCGCCUUAAAGUCAUUGGCAGCCAGUGUUUUGGUUUUGAAGCGCAGCACAAGUCGCGAUUCAAGGCUAUCCGCCCGCUUCCACAAGCCUUUUUCACUUUUGACCUCGGAUCAGGUAGGGAUACCCGUUGAACUUAAGCAUAUCAAUAAGCGGAGGA